rnacentral:rRNA from 1 species
GAUGAACGCUAGCUACAGGCUUAACACAUGCAAGUCGAGGGGAAACGAUAUUGGAAGCUUGCUUCUGAUAGGCGUCGACCGGCGCACGGGUGAGUAACGCGUAUCCAACCUGCCCAUCACUUGGGGAUAACCUUGCGAAAGUAAGACUAAUACCCAAUGAAGUCUCUAGAAGACAUCUGAAAGAGAUUAAAGAUUUAUCGGUGAUGGAUGGGGAUGCGUCUGAUUAGCUUGUUGGCGGGGUAACGGCCCACCAAGGCGACGAUCAGUAGGGGUUCUGAGAGGAAGGUCCCCCACAUUGGAACUGAGACACGGUCCAAACUCCUACGGGAGGCAGCAGUGAGGAAUAUUGGUCAAUGGACGAGAGUCUGAGCCAGCCAAGUAGCGUGCAGGAUGACGGCCCUAUGGGUUGUAAACUGCUUUUAUAAGGGAAUAAAGUGAGUCUCGUGAGACUUUUUGCAUGUACUUAUGAAUAAGGACCGGCU